GGCACGCCUAACACAUGCAAGUCGAACGAAGUAGCAAUACUUAGUGGCAGACGGGUGAGUAACAUGUGGGUAUCUGCCCUUUGGCCUGGAAUAACACGAGGAAACUUGUGCUAAUACCGGAUAAGUCUUUACGGAGAAAGCUUUAUGCACCAUUGGAUGAGCCUGCACUUGAUUAGUUUGUUGGUGGGGUAAUGGCCUACCAAGACUGUGAUCAAUAGCUGAUUUGAGAGGAUGAUCAGCCACAUUGGGACUGAGACACGGCCCAAACUCCUACGGGAGGCAGCAGUGGGGAAUCUUGCACAAUGGAGGAAACUCUGAUGCAGCGAUGCCGCGUGAGUGAAGAAGGCCUUUGGGUUGUAAAGCUCUUUCGUCGGGGAAGAAAAUGACUGUACCCGAAUAAGAAGGUCCGGCUAACUUCGUGCCAGCAGCCGCGGUAAUACGAAGGGACCUAGCGUAGUUCGGAAUUACUGGGCUUAAAGAGUUCGUAGGUGGUUGAAAAAGUUGGUGGUGAAAUCCCAGAGCUUAACUCUGGAACUGCCAUCAAAACUUUUCAGCUAGAGUAUGAUAGAGGAAAGCAGAAUUUCUAGUGUAGAGGUGAAAUUCGUAGAUAUUAGAAAGAAUACCGAUUGCGAAGGCAGCUUUCUGGAUCAUUACUGACACUGAGGAACGAAAGCAUGGGUAGCGAAGAGGAUUAGAUACCCUCGUAGUCCAUGCCGUAAACGAUGUGUGUUAGACGUUGGAAAUUUAUUUUCAGUGUCGCAGCGAAAGCGAUAAACACACCGCCUGGGGAGUACGACCG
rnacentral:rRNA from 1 species